rnacentral:lncRNA from 1 species
UCUGAUUGAUGAGGAUGUUUGGGAGGAAGUCUAGGAGGGUGCUAAAAAUAUAUCAGUCUUUAACUGUGCAAGAGCAAUUCAGCUGAAGAUACUGCACAGGGUACAUAUAUCUCCUAAUCGCAGACAUACCUUUAACAGUUCCUUUUCCCCGUUUUGUCUUGAAGGGGUCAUAUGAUGCCAUUUAAAUUUUUCCUUUCUCUUUGGAGUGUCUUGGUGCAUAAAUUUUGCAUCACAAUAUGUUAAGAGGCGUAACAUUUCCGUCACACGCUUGAGGCAUUCAGCCAAUCACAAGGCGCUGGAUAGCUGCCCAAUCAGAGCACACCUCGCUUUUCAGACUGAUGAGCUUUUUAAAAAUCGUUUCAGAAGGCGGGGCAUAGAGGAGAAACAAUAAUGUACAGUAUGUAGGAAAUAAUGUGUUUUUGACCUUAACCGCAUAAGCACAUUUCCUCUGCACUGAUCAUCAAGCACAACUGCAGUAAUGACAGAACAUGGACACUGGAGUCCAGUGAAACCGGUCACUCUAGAGGAGAUAAAGAUUUGCCUUGAGAUGAGGAAACCGAUUGAGGAAAAUGUUGUAAAUGGUUUACAUUCCUUUGGUCUAUUCUUCUCAGAUUGUGAAUGGAACAAACUUUGUGGUCAAGGUAAGUGAGUGUUUUUGUUUGUUUGUUUGUUUUUUUGUAUGGAUUUUGAGCUUGUGAAUUCAUCAGUGAAAAAUAAAGGUAGGCUAUAACUUGCAUGCAGGGGCGGACUGGCCAUCUGGAGGUUCUGGAGAAGUCCAGAAAGCCUCCAUCCAACAGCCGUUGGCCUGCUGACUCAUCAUCAAAGAAAAAGUGUCAGAUAAUGUGACGUUGACAGCCGACAAAAGGGGGCGCUAAUGCAAUCUAUUUUUGAUUAGAAGAAUCCGAAAUGAACAUAUACUGCCCGCAUUGUCUUGUACAGCCUGCUGGGUCACUUUAGACUCGGAUGAUCAGUUUUAAAAUAUUUGAAAUGUAAGUCACGUAAAGAUUGCUUUCAGUUUAUGACAACCAGAGUUUCCAGCCACUCCACGUAUUAAUUUCAGUGUUGUGGGACAUGCACUGUAGGCUAAUGUAAACAUUCACUAACAUUAACAAAUAAUAAAUUGGCCUGCUGACUCAUCAUCAAGAAAAAG